rnacentral:tRNA from 1 species
GUAGGUGUAGCUCAGAGGUAGAGCACCUACUUAGCACACAGGAAGUCCUGGGUUUAAUUUCCAGUUCUGAUA